UACGGGGGGUGCGAGCGUUGUCCGGAAUUAUUGGGCGUAAAGAGCUCGUAGGCGGUCUGUUGCGUCCGCUGUGAAAACUCGGGGCUUAACCCCGAGCCUGCAGUGGAUACGGGCAGACUAGAGGUAGGUAGGGGAGAAUGGAAUUCCCGGUGUAGCGGUGAAAUGCGCAGAUAUCGGGAGGAACACCGGUGGCGAAGGCGGUUCUCUGGGCCUUACCUGACGCUGAGGAGCGAAAGCGUGGGGAGCGAACAGG
rnacentral:rRNA from 1 species